rnacentral:rRNA from 1 species
CUCGUAGGAGGUUCGUCGCGUCCGGUGUGAAAGUCCAUCGCUUAACGGUGGAUCCGCGCCGGGUACGGGCGGGCUUGAGUGCGGUAGGGGAGACUGGAAUUCCCGGUGUAACGGUGGAAUGUGUAGAUAUCGGGAAGAACACCAAUGGCGAAGGCAGGUCUCUGGGCCGUCACUGACGCUGAGGAGCGAAAGCGUGGGGAGCGAACA